rnacentral:RNase_P_RNA from 1 species
GUGGACAGAGGAUCGCCGGCGGGCCCUUCGCCCGCGGGAGGAAAGUCCGGGCUCCGUGGGCCAGGGAGGUCGUUAACGACGACCCGAGGCAACUCGAGGGAAAGUGCCGCAGAAAAAAUACCGCCGAUGACCGAUGAAUUCUAGCCAGCGAGAGGCGGCUGGGAGGAGGAACAGGCAAGGGUGAAAUCGUGAGGUAAGAGCUUACGCGCGACAGCCGGGUGACCGGCGGCGAGGUAAACCCCUCCUGGAGCAAGUUCAAAUAGGAGCAUCGAUUCGACCGGCCCAGUCGAGAAGCCUUCGGGUGCCGGUGCUCGGGUUAGAACGCUUGAGCGGGCCAGCAAUGACCCGCCUAGAUGAAUGAUCCUCAUCGUCUGGAAGAAUCCAGGCGAGACAGAACCCGGCUUAUCGUCCA